UCUGGGAUAGUUUAAUUGGUAAAACCCUGCACUGUUAAUGCAGUGAUCCUGGUCCGAGUCCAGGUCCCAGAG
rnacentral:tRNA from 1 species